rnacentral:lncRNA from 1 species
GGGGUCAACGAAGCCCGACCUAGACCAUUUGGGAUACCCUCAAACAAAAUCCCUAAUCUCCUCGCUCGAGUGCAAGUAGGGCUGAAGAUGGACUAGAUCUCGUCUGAGCACAAGGUCGGCGAGGCUUGACCUGGGCCAUGGGGUCAUCCAAGAAAGAUCCCAGAAGCCCCUAUGGUGAGAUGCAAACCAAGCCCAAGUGCUCCUUGUUCACGUACGUGCACAACCACAGACUAAGGAAAAGUAAUUUUUUAUUACAAAGAGUCGUUAC